rnacentral:lncRNA from 1 species
CCCUCGCGCUCCGUCGUCACCCCGAGAACACUGCAAGGCGUGAGCCUUAAACCUUAAACUCCGUUAAACACCGGAGCCGUUCCCCCAUUGACGUCAUCAUCCUACGCCGCAACGCCCCCUCAGCAACGUCCCCCUCCAUUAGGCCCCGGGGGCGGACCCACAGUGCAGAGCCGCCCCCGGGGGAGGGCAGGGCCCUUCCUUUGCCCCCCCUUCCCGGCCCCGUUAUCCCCGCGUUUCUCUCCCAGGGCUCUCAGUUCCCGGCUAUGGCUCUGUGGGUGCUGCUGCUCCUCGCGGUGCUCCCCGUGACGCCCUCCGCCUCCCCUCGCUGCGCCCCGCAGUGCCCCCCCGGCACUUACCCGCACCCCCCGAGCCGAACCCGGCAGCGCUGCGGCCCCCCGAGGGGCCGCUCGGAGCCCGUCCAGUGCCGAGAGCUCCGCUGCCCCGCGCCUCUCUCUUUCCCUCACGGCACCUUGGAGCCGCGCUUCCCCGCGUACUCCUCCGGCAGCGUCCUCCGCUUCACCUGCGACGACGGCUUCGUGCUGCGAGGGGCCGCGGAGCUGCGCUGCAGACCCGGGGGUGUCUGGAGCGAGCCUCCCCCUGUGUGCGACGACGGCGGUGAGCGGG